rnacentral:rRNA from 1 species
GACGUAGGAUGCAAGCGUUGUCCGGAUUUAUUGGGCGUAAAGAGUUCGUAGGUGGUUUGUUAAGUCUGAUGUUAAAGCCUGGGGCUCAACCUCGGAAAUGCAUUGGAUACUGGCAGACUUGAGUGUGGUAGAGGCAAUCGGAAUUCCAGGUGUAGCGGUGAAAUGCGUAGAUAUCUGGAAGAACACCGGUGGCGCAAGCGGAUUGCUGGGCCAUAACUGACACUGAGGAACGAAAGCUAGGGGAGCGAACAGG